rnacentral:rRNA from 1 species
GAUCCGGUGGUUCCGCAUGGAAGGGCCAUCGCUCAACGGAUAAAAGCUACCCCGGGGAUAACAGGCUUAUCUCCCCCAAGAGUUCACAUCGACGGGGAGGUUUGGCACCUCGAUGUCGGCUCAUCGCAUCCUGGGGCUGUAGUCGGUCCCAAGGGUUGGGCUGUUCGCCCAUUAAAGCGGUACGCGAGCUGGGUUCAGAACGUCGUGAGACAGUUCGGUCCCUAUCCGUCGUGGGCGUAGGAAAUUUGAGAGGAGCUGUCCUUAGUACGAGAGGACCGGGAUGGACAUACCUCUGGUGUACCAGUUGUCGUGCCAACGGCAUAGCUGGGUAGCUAUGUGUGGACGGGAUAAGUGCUGAAAGCAUCUAAGCAUGAAGCCCCCCUCAAGAUGAGAUUUCCCAACUUCGGUUAUAAGAUCCCUCAAAGAUGAUGAGGUUAAUAGGUUCGAGGUGGAAGCAUGGUGACAUGUGGAGCUGACGAAUACUAAUCGAUCGAAGACUUAAUCAA